rnacentral:rRNA from 1 species
CCUACGGGAGGCAGCAGUGAGGAAUAUUGGUCAAUGGACGAGAGUCUGAACCAGCCAAGUAGCGUGAAGGAUGACUGCCCUAUGGGUUGUAAACUUCUUUUAUAAAGGAAUAAAACGAGGCACGUGUGCCUUUUUGCAUGUACUUUAUGAAUAAAGAUCGGCUAACUCCGUGCCAGCAGCCGCGGUAAUACGGAGGAUCCGAGCGUUAUCCGGAUUUAUUGGGUUUAAAGGGAGCGUAGAUGGGUUGUUAAGUCAGUUGUGAAAGUUUGCGGCUCAACCGUAAAAUUGCAAUUGAUACUGGCAGUCGUGAGUACAGUUGAGGUAGGCGGAAUUCGUGGUGUAGCGGUGAAAUGCUUAGAUAUCACGAAGAACCCCGAUUGCGAAGGCAGCUUACUAAACUGUGACUGACAUUGAUGCUCGAAAGUGUGGGUAUCAAACAGGAUUAGAUACCCCUGUAGUC